rnacentral:lncRNA from 1 species
AUGGAGACUUUUGAAAUUCACACCCUCUCCUUUCUAAGGCACUUAACUUAUGUUACCAUGUAUUAUAAAUUGAAUUCUACAAAGUACCUUUUAGAUUGCCUUUCACAAAUGUUACUGCUCUCAAUGCUGGUUGCAAGUGGGCCUAUGGGUGCUCAUACCUGCUCAAUAUCAGAAGACUUUGAAGAGGGUGAGAUAAUCUGGACCUGUAAUUUCAUCAGUAAGGAAACUUCCAAGCUGAGAUGCCUCACAGAUCCCUGUUGGGUCAGAUCAGAUCCUCCCCAGAUGACCAGAUCCUCGAGGACCCGGAAACUAUGCAAAGUUCACUUUUGUAUCCAUGCCCGACACUUGGCACAGGAUGAGCCCAAGUUGGUGCUCAAGAUAAGACCUUUGGAAUGGCAGGCACAGAAGAAUGUUCAUUUCCCAGGCAACAGUGACAUCUCCUGGCUCAGGGGAGCUCUGAGGCUGCAGCUGAACCAUCCUCCACUGAAGGGGAUGCACUGA